CUCACAAAGUGGCUGUUGUAUGCUUCAACUAGAGUUCAUAUCACAGCCAGCUUUGAUGAGCG
rnacentral:pre_miRNA from 1 species